CCAUCGUCGGUUCUUACCGGUAGAUCACCCGUUUCAAAGAAAUAGAGAACACUUCAGGAAAGGGAAAGUAGACAAUGAUAUGUCUGCACCGCGAUUGUCGGGAACGGAGAUGCGAGAUCAUGUGAUGAGAUUGCCGGUUAUCCCAUUUAGGAGUGAGCAAAAAAUGGAUAAAACCGAACUACCGAACCGAACCAAAAUUUUUUAACCGAAUUAUUUCGGUUUUUCCGGUUUUUUUUACAAUUUCGGUUAUAUCCGAAUUAUUUUUCAGUAUUCGGUUACGGUUUCGGUUUUCAAAAUACAGGCUAUUCGGGUAUCCGAAUAACCGAACAGUAAUUCUUAAAAAUAUUAAUUUUAUAAUAUUAUUAUUACUUCAUUCAGCCAUUCAAGAAUCAGGAGUCCUAAGUAUUAACCUAAGUGACCGAGUCGGCUCCUAAGUUUCAGAUCUGAGAAAUUCUAACCCCAAUUCGACACUUGCCUCUCGAUCAUUCUUCACUCUGUCUCCCUUACGACUUCAAUUCUUCACUCUUGCGGUGCCUCUCGAUCUCGACCGUCGACACUCGACUACUCCAGUCCCUAUCUCCCUUACGAAUUCAAUUGCUUGCCUGAGUUGCCUCUCGAGCUCGAGUUCGACAGUCGACAGGCGGUCCACGCCUUCAGACUUUAGUUAAUUUAUGCUUUUCCCUUUUGAUUGGUUAUCUUUAAUGGUGAUCUAGAUGUUUGAUAGAUUUUCGAGUUUGCGGUUGUUAUUGUUUAUUUUGUGAAAGUCUUAGUAUUUAACUGAUAACUGGG
rnacentral:lncRNA from 1 species